rnacentral:tRNA from 1 species
GGCCUCGUCGCUCAGCUGGUAGAGUGUGCGUUGUACAAAAGCUUAGGUGACUUCCAUGCGUGGGUUCGAAUCCCACCGAGGCUA